rnacentral:rRNA from 1 species
GACGAACGCUGGCGGCGUGCUUAACACAUGCAAGUCGAACGGAAAGGCCCUGCUUUCAGUGUUCUCGCGUGGCGAACGGGUGAGUAACACGUGGGUGAUCUGCCCUGCACUUCGGGUUAGGCUUGUGCAACUGGGUCUAAUACCGGACAGGAGCCAUCUUUAACCUGGUGGUUGGAUAGUUUUUUCGGUGUAUGCUGAGGUCGCGGACUAUCUGCUUGUUGGUGGGGUAAUUGCCUACCAAGGCGGCGAGGGGGAGCCGGCCUGCGAGGGUGUACAGCCACACUAGAACUGAAAGACGGGCCAGAGUAGUACGGGAGGCAGAAGGGGGGAAUAUUGGACAAAGGGCGCAAGCCUGAGGGAGGGAGGCCGCGGGAGGGAUGAAGGCUUUUGGGUUGUAAACUCCUGUGGCUAGGGAAGAAGCUUUUUUGUGACGGUACCUAGAGAAGAAGCACCGGCUAACUACGUG